UUAAUACUGGGAAUCGGUAAUGCAUGUACAGGAUAGGUGGGAGACUAGGAAGCAUGGUCGUCAGGUCAUGUGGAGUCACCGGUGGGAUACCACUCUUGUAUUGCUGAUUUCCUAACCUGCGGCCGUGAAUCCGGUCGGGGGACACUGUUAGACGGGCAGUUUGACUGGGGCGGUCGCCUCCGAAAAGGUAACGGAGGCGCUCAAAGGUUCCCUCAGAAUGGUUGGAAAUCAUUCAUAGAGUGUAAAGGCAUAAGGGAGCUUGACUGCGAGACCUACAAGUCGAGCAGGGUCGAAAGACGGACUUAGUGAUCCGGUGGUUCCGCAUGGAAGGGCCAUCGCUCAACGGAUAAAAGCUACCCCGGGGAUAACAGGCUUAUCUCCCCCAAGAGUUCACAUCGACGGGGAGGUUUGGCACCUCGAUGUCGGCUCAUCGCAUCCUGGGGCUGUAGUCGGUCCCAAGGGUUGGGCUGUUCGCCCAUUAAAGCGGUACGCGAGCUGGGUUCAGAACGUCGUGAGACAGUUCGGUCCCUAUCUGUCGUGGGCGCAGGAUAUUUGAUGGGAGCUGUUCCUAGUACGAGAGGACCGGAGCGGACGUACCUCUGGCGCACCAGUUGUUCUGCCAAGGGCAUAGCUGGGCAACUAUGUACGGAUCGGAUAAACGCUGAAAGCAUCUAAGCGUGAAGCCGACCCAAAGAUAAGAUAUCCCACUGAUUCGAUCAGGUAAGAUCCCUUGAAGACUACAA
rnacentral:rRNA from 1 species